UUAAAUGACUCGGGGUGCCAGACCUUAAGGUAUGGCUGAGAAAUACCCGUCGAACCUGAACUGGAUAAUGCCAGCGUAGGGAAGUCAGAUGCCUGAACG
rnacentral:ncRNA from 1 species